rnacentral:rRNA from 1 species
UACGUAGGGUGCAAGCGUUAAUCGGAAUUACUGGGCGUAAAGCGUGCGCAGGCGGUUUUGCAAGACCGAUGUGAAAGCCCCGGGCUCAACCUGGGAACUGCAAUGGAAACUGGCGGGCUUGAGUGUGGCAGAGGGGGGUGAAAUUCCGCGUGUAGCAGUGAAAUGCGUAGAGAUGCGGAGGAACACCGAUGGCGAAGGCAGCCCCCUGGGCCAACACUGACGCUCAGGCACGAAAGCGUGGGGAGCAAACAGG